rnacentral:rRNA from 1 species
UACGAAGGUGGCAAGCGUUGUUCGGAUUUACUGGGCGUACAGGGAGCGUAGGCGGUUGGAUAAGCCCUCCGUGAAAUCUCCAGGCUUAACCUGGAAAGUGCAGAGGGGACUGUUCAGCUAGAGGAUGGGAGAGGAGCGCGGAAUUCCCGGUGUAGCGGUGAAAUGGCGCAGAUAUCAGGAGGAACACCGGUGGCGAAGGCGGUCUCUGGGCAUGUCCUGACGCUGGAGGAGCGAAAGUGUGGGGAGCGAACAGG